GUUUGAAGAAGGAUUGGAAGAGUUGCUGCAAAUUUUGGAGAGAAGAAACAGAGAGCUUGCUGUACGUACGGGAGAAGGAGAAGAAGAAGCUUGCUGCAUCCAGUGGUGAGGCAGAGAACGUUUGGAAUUUCUGCAUUCAAGUUUGGCUAGGAGGUCUUCAAGAGAUGGUGAUGAGGAUACUUUGGAAGCAGCUCUUGAUGGGGACAGCAGUGCUGCCGCUUAGUUUAGCUAGUUUCUCUUCGUGGUUCCUAAUGUUUGGAAUAAACUCGUGUGUAUUCUAAGUUUAAAUUCUCUCUGUUUUUCAUGGAGACAUUCCAUUUACUCUUGUUGUAAUUUCCGCACUAUUCUGAGGAUGACUGUAAUCCUUAAAAUUACUCUUGACUGCUUUCUCAUAUUAUGUAUGAUGACGUCUUAUUUAUAUAUGCAUGAUGUAUAUUUUUGGGACGUUA